GGCGCCGGUCGCUUACCGACGCUGUCAGUUUUAAACGAUUAAAUAUAUUCCUUUUUAUUAUAUACAAAAUUAUAAUAACGGAGGGUUACCUACGUCAUCUACUUUGUAAAACUUAUUUGAGAGGUUCGGGUUACCAAAUCUCUUUGUAUCAAAACCGUGCCACGUGCAAUAUAAGUCAUAUAUUGCCUUAUUUCUACAGAUUUAAACACUC